AUCACAAAUAUGCACACUUGAACAAACACCAGCGUGAUCAACUACCUAAACUGACAGAAACCAUCUUUGGGAAACAUCUAUUUGAAGUGUAAUUCUUUUUGUCUCAUC